rnacentral:rRNA from 1 species
UACGGGGGGAGCAAGCGUUGUUCGGAUUUACUGGGCGUAAAGGGCGCGUAGGCGGUUUGUCCAGUCAGGUGUGAAAUUCCCGGGCUCAACCUGGGGGCUGCACUUGAUACGUAUGGACUGGAGUGGGGAAGAGGGUCGUGGAAUUCCCAGUGUAGAGGUGAAAUUCGUAGAUAUUGGGAAGAACACCGGUGGCGAAGGCGGCGACCUGGUCCUUGACUGACGCUGAGGCGCGAAAGCGUGGGGAGCAAACAGG